UCAAAGAUUAAGCCAUGCAAGUCUAAGUACACACGGCCGGUACAGUGAAACUGCGAAUGGCUCAUUAAAUCAGUUUGAUCGCUCCAACGUUACUUGGAUAACUGUGGCAAUUCUAGAGCUAAUACAUGCAGACGAGCGUUGACCUCCGGGGAUGCGUGCAUUUAUCAGACCCAAAACCCAUGCGGGCCAAUCUCAGUUGCCCCGGCAGCUUUGGUGACUCUAGAUAACCUCGAGCCGAUCGCGCGCCCUUUGUGACGGUGACAUCUCAUUCGAAUGUCUGCCCUAUCAACUUUCGAUGGUACUUUCUAUGCCUACCAUGGUGACCACGGGUAACGGGGAAUCAGGGUUCGAUUCCGGAGAGGGAGCCUGAGAAGCGGCUACCACAUCCAAGGAAGGCAGCAGGCGCGCAAAUUACCCACUCCCNNNNNNNNNNNNNNNNNNNNUUCUAACUGGACUACACUUUCCGUUGUAGCAGGCUGUGGGGA
rnacentral:ncRNA from 1 species